rnacentral:rRNA from 1 species
AUUGAACGCUGGCGGCAGGCCUAACACAUGCAAGUCGAACGAGUGGCGGACGGGUGAGUAAUGUCUCGGAAACUGCCUGAUGGAGGGGGAUAACUACUGGAAACGGUAGCUAAUACCGCAUACUAUCCGAUGUGCCCAGAUGUGAUUAGCUAGUUGGCGGGGUAAAGGCGCACCUAGGCGACGAUCCCUAGCGGGUCUGAGAGGAUGACCGGCCACACUGGGACUGAGCCACGGCCCAGAGUCCGACGGGAGGCAGCAGUGGGGAAUAUUGCACAAUGGGCGCAAGCCUUAUGCAGCCAUGCCGCGUGUAUGAAGAAGGCCUUCGGGUUGUAAAGGACUUUGGGCGGGGAGGCGUUACCUGAAGAAGAAGCACCGGCUAACUCCGUGCCAGCCGCCGCGGUAAUUC